rnacentral:rRNA from 1 species
UACGUAGGGGGCAAGCGUUGUCCGGAAUCAUUGGGCGUAAAGAGCGUGUAGGCGGCCUGGUAAGUCCGCUGUGAAAGUCCAGGGCUCAACCCUGGAAUGCCGGUGGAAACUGUCAGGCUCGAGUCCGGAAGAGGCGAGUGGAAUUCCUGGUGUAGCGGUGAAAUGCGCAGAUAUCAGGAGGAACACCAAUGGCGAAGGCAGCUCGCUGGGACGGUACUGACACUGAGGCACGAAAGCGUGGGGAUCAAACAGG